AUAUUUACCUGGCAGGGGAGACACCAUUAUUAGGAAGGUGGUUUUCCCAGGGGAGGCUCAUCGCACUCCAGAUGUGCUGAUCCCUGCACUAGAUUCCUGAUUUCCCCAAAUGCAGGAAAUUUGACUGCAUAAUUUGUGGUAGUGGGGGUAGUGCAUUCAUACUUUCUCCUG